rnacentral:rRNA from 1 species
GCUAUCUGCAGUCGAGGGGCAGCGCAGUGUAGCAAUACAUGGGCGGCGACCGGCAAACGGGUGCGGAACACGUACGCAACCUUCCUUCAAGCGGGGCAUAGCUUUCGGAAACGAAAAUUAAUACCCCAUAGUAAUGUCUGAGGGCAUCUGAGGAUAUUUAAAGAUUUAUCACUUGAAGAUGGGCGUGCGCCUGAUUAGGUAGUUGGCGGGGUAACGGCCCACCAAGCCUACGAUCAGUAACUGGUGUGAGAGCACGACCAGUCACACGGGCACUGAGACACGGGCCCGACUCCUACGGGAGGCAGCAGUAAGGAAUAUUGGUCAAUGGACGCAAGUCUGAACCAGCCAUGCCGCGUGGAGGAUGAAGGUCCUCUGGAUUGUAAACUUCUUUUAUCGGAGAAGAAACCCCUGAAUUCUUUUAGGGUUGACGGUACCCGAUGAAUAAGCACCGGCUAACUCCGUGCCAGCAGCCGCGGUAAUACGGAGGGUGCAAGCGUUAUCCGGAUUCACUGGGUUUAAAGGGAGCGUAGGUGGGCUGGUAAGUCAGUGGUGAAAUCUCCGGGCUUAACUCGGAAACUGCCGUUGAUACUAUCAGUCUUGAAUAUUGUGGAGGUAAGCGGAAUAUGUCAUGUAGCGGUGAAAUGCUUAGAUAUGACAUAGAACACCGAUAGCGAAGGCAGCUUGCUACACAAUUAUUGACACUGAGGCUCGAAAGCGUGGGGAUCAAACAGGAUUAGAUACCCUGGUAGUCCACGCCCUAAACGAUGGAUACUCGACAUAUGCGAUACACUGUAUGUGUCUGAGCGAAAGCAUUAAGUAUCCCACCUGGGAAGUACGACCGCAAGGUUGA